UCCUACGGGAGGCAGCAGUGGGGAAUAUUGGACAAUGGGGGCAACCCUGAUCCAGCCAUGCCGCGUGUGUGAAGAAGGCCCUCGGGUUGUAAAGCACUUUCAGCGAGGAAGAACGCCUAGCGGUCAAUACCCGCUAGGAAAGACAUCACUCGCAGAAGAAGCACCGGCUAACUCCGUGCCAGCAGCCGCGGUAAUACGGAGGGUGCAAGCGUUAAUCGGAAUUACUGGGCGUAAAGCGCGCGUAGGUGGCUUGAUAAGCCGGUUGUGAAAGCCCCGGGCUCAACCUGGGAACGGCAUCCGGAACUGUCAAGCUAGAGUGCAGGAGAGGAAGGUAGAAUUCCCGGUGUAGCGGUGAAAUGCGUAGAGAUCGGGAGGAAUACCAGUGGCGAAGGCGGCCUUCUGGACUGACACUGACACUGAGGUGCGAAAGCGUGGGUAGCAAACAGGAUUAGAUACCCUGGUAGUCCACGCCGUAAACGAUGUCGACCAGCCGUUGGGUGCCUAGCGCACUUUGUGGCGAAGUUAACGCGAUAAGUCGACCGCCUGGGGAGUACGGCCGCAAGGUUAAAACUCAAAUGAAUUGACGGA
rnacentral:rRNA from 1 species